GACUAGCCUGGGGAAACAAACCAAUACAAAUGAUUAUAAUUAACCUGUGAGAAGCAUUUUUCUCAUCAACAUGGUGUUACUGACUUCCUCACUGCCAGUUUCUCACUGAUUGAGUGUUGAAGAUUUAUUUCUCCUGGACUCCCACAAGUUACAACUGGAGAGUUUGAAAAGCAAUACAGAAGUCAGCAUGGGAGCUAAACAUCAAACUCCUCUGGAGUUCUGGAGUGUCUACUUCUGAAACUAAUUAAGUUGGCAGCAAUAAAUUUUCAGCCUUCCCGA